CUAACUCAAAUUUGUAGGGAGUUGGAACGUUUGCCUAUGUUUGUCGCUAGGGGCACUGUUCCAGCUGCAUACAAAUUUCAGGUA
rfam:Bombyx mori DNA, contig: Bm_scaf234_contig41848, strain: p50T/Dazao, build 2, whole genome shotgun sequence.